UGUUAGGUCUCUGCCUUGUUCUUCAUCCGAAUUAAUGCCACUGCCUGAUCUAAUGUAUAUGCCGACUUUAUACUGUGAUGACUGCGCAUGGCUCAUUACAUCAGUUAUAGUUUAUAUGAUGGUACUUUGCUACAUGGAUAACUGUGGUAUCUCUAGAGCUAACUACAUGCUUACAAGCCCCGACUUCUUGGAAGGGGUGUAUUUCUUAGAUAAACACCCACACUUCGGGUCCCUUGGUGAAUCCUAAUAACUUUUCUAAUCGCAUGGCCUUGUGCCGGCGAUGCUUCAUUCAAAUAUCUGCCCUAUCAACUGUCGAUGGUAGGAUAGAGGCCUACCAUGGUUGCAACGGGUAACGGGGAACUAAGGGUUCGAUCCGGAGAGGGAGCCUGAGAAACGGCUACCACAUCCAAGGAAGGCAGCAGGCGCGCAACAUUACCCACAUCCCGCACACGGGGAGGUAGUGCACACAUAACAUACACACAUCAUAGGGCUUUUAAAGUCUUCAAUAAUUGGACAUGAGUACAAUUUAAAUCCCUUAA
rnacentral:rRNA from 1 species